UACGUAGGGAGCAAGCGUUGUUCGGAUUUACUGGGCGUAAAGGGUGCGUAGGCGGCGGAGUAAGUUGGGUGUGAAAUCCCGGGGCUUAACCUCGGAAUUGCAUUCAAUACUGCUUCGCUCGAGUACUGGAGAGGAGGCUGGAAUUUACGGUGUAGCAGUGAAAUGCGUAGAUAUCGUAAGGAAGGCCGGUGGCGAAAGCGAGCCUCUGGACAGUUACUGACGCUGAUGCACGAAGGCCAGGGGAGCAAAACGGG
rnacentral:rRNA from 1 species